GAUGAACGCUGGCGGCGUGCCUAAUACAUGCAAGUCGAGCGGACGGACGAGAAGCUUGCUUCUCUGCUGUUAGCGGCGGACGGGUGAGUAACACGUGGAUAACCUACCUAUAAGACUGGGAUAACUUCGGGAAACCGGAGAUAAUACCGGAUAAUAUUUUGAAACGCAUGGUUCAAAAGUGAAAGACGGUCUUGAUGUCACUUAUAGAUGGUUCCGCGCUGCAUUAGCUAGUUGGUAAGGUAACGGCUUACCAAGGCAACGAUGCAUAGCCGACCUGAGAGGGUGAUCAGUCACACUGGAACUGAGACACGGUCCAGACUCCUACGGGAGGCAGCAGUGGGGAAUCUUCGGCAAUGGGCGAAAGCCUGACGGAGCAACGCCGCGUGAGUGAUGAAGGUCUUCGGAUUGUAAAACUCUGUUAUUAGGGAAGAACAUAAGUGAAAUUAACUGUUCAUGUCUUGACGUUACCUAAACAGAAAGCCACGGCUAACUACGUG
rnacentral:rRNA from 1 species